GCCUCUGUAGCUCAGUUGGUUGGAGUGCUGCACCGGAAUCGCAGGGCCGCAGGUUUAAAUCAAUUCCUGCAAGAGGAC